rnacentral:rRNA from 1 species
GCACUGGCUAACUCUGUGCCAGCAGCCGCGGUAAUACAGAGAGUGCAAGCGUUAAUCGGAAUCACUGGGCGUAAAGCGCGCGUAGGUGGAUAUUUAAGUCGGAUGUGAAAGCCCUAGGCUUAACCUAGGAACUGCACUCGAUACUGAGUAUCUCGAGUAUAGUAGAGGGAAGUGGAAUUUCCGGUGUAGCGGUGAAAUGCGUAGAUAUCGGAAAGAACACCAGUGGCGAAGGCGGCUUCCUGGACUAAUACUGACACUGAGGUGCGAAAGCGUGGGGAGCAAACAGGAUUAGAGACCCUGGU